CAGCCAGCACCCUCGCCGGGGUCCAUGCAGCCCGCGGUGAACGCGAAGCCUCCUGACACAGCAGCUGGAGAGGCUUUACGAUGUUGCUCAUCCGUUCAGCAAUGAUUCAUUGAGCACCUCUUCAGCAAUUCUGCAAUUUUGCAAGGUUUUUUAUGACGGCAUCCAUUGGCCACCUCCCAAGGUGGACGGGACACUAGCCAUCCCACACACCAGAGCUUGACCCUCCAUCACUCUGUUCAGUGGGUGAAGUCUGGAAGCUGGUUGAGGACAAAGGGACUCUGAGUUACACAUGUGAACUUUUCUUACAGCAGAAGGGUAUAAAGGGAUCAGCCAAAGUAAGGAUUCAAGAAAUCCACCUGCACUGAAUGGGGAAUUGAAUUCUUGCACACUCCAGAGUGGGAUGGAAGCAUGAAAUUGCUUUAAACUAUUUUUACAACUGGUCAGCCAUUGUGCUAGGUCUGAGAUUUUCCCUAGUUCAUGAAAGGUUUUUAAUAAUUCUGCACAUUUUUGGAACCACUCAGGGUAAGUGUGAGAUGAUCAAAACUUUUUAUGUGACCUCCGUCUAAGGGGUUCACACCUAUUCCUGUUGGUGCCUGUCUAGCUUGGGGUCCUCCAGAAGCAGACCCCAUGACCGAGAUGUGAGUGCAGGUUGUGAGCUUUGGAGGUGAUCCUGAAAAGCAAGAGCAAAUGAGUUGGGAAAGGUGUCAGGGAAUUGUAGGAAACCAGGGCCAGGUGUCCUAAGGAGCAGAUCGCCUCUCUGGGCAUUUGGGGCUCAUUGAACUCUGGGAGACCAAAGAGAACAUGCUUGCAAGUUGUCCCUCCAGAAGGGUGGGAAGCUGGAUGACUUACCCACCCACUCCCUUCCAUCAUGGUUAAGGGCUGCUCUGGGCUUUGACUCUCCAGAGCGUUUAGCCAAGCCAGGUUCUGCAGCCGCAAAAAGCCCUCUGGCACAGGGUCACAGGGACUUGCAGCAAGAAGCCAUGGGCACACCCAUGAGUGGAGGCUGCUGAGGUGACAAUGACGGACUCUAACACUAUCUAAUAAAAGGUUGUACCUCCACUCUCCUCUGCUGCUUUUUUGUUUUCAUUUCUUUGUUAAGUUGGUGCUUUGUGUCUUAUUCUGAUAAACCACUGUGGUCUCGCUCUGUUGUACUUUCCCUCCCUUUCAUCCCUCCUUCCUGUCUGCAGAUGUUUAUUGAGCAGCUACUCAUUUUAGGCCUUGACAAUGAUGGAUGACUGGACAUUUGUGUGCACAGAUCUUUAAUGAUGCUGUGCAUAAGCCAAAAAUACUGUGGACCUUCAAUUGUUUUCUAGUUCAGAAGUUGGAAGAAGGUAUCCAUUCAUGUAUCUGCCCAUCCAUCCAUCCAUCCAUCCACCCACAUCCA